GUCAAGAUGUGGCUAUCAAAGUUCUUAGGACUGAACAUCUAAAUGAUAAAUUGCGAAGGGAAUUUGCUCAAGAAGUAUUUAUCAUGAGGAGAGUCCGGCACAAGAAUGUUGUACAAUUUAUUGGUGCAUGUACCAGACCUCCGACCCUGUGUAUUGUGACAGAAUUUAUGUGUGGUGGAAGCAUGUUUGACUUUCUGCAUAAACAAAAGCAAAGUUUUAAUCUCCAGUCCUUGCUCAGAGUAGCAAUUGAUGUUUCCAAGGGAAUGAACUACUUGCACCAAAAUAAUAUAAUACAUAGAGAUCUGAAAGCUGCCAAUCUUUUGAUGGAUGAAAAUAGGGUGGUUAAGGUUGCUGAUUUUGGCGUUGCUAGAGUACAAGAUCAGUCUGGCGUGAUGACAGCAGAAACUGGAACAUAUCGCUGGAUGGCUCCAGAGGUUAUUGAGCAUAAUCCUUAUGAUCAUAAAGUUGAUGUUUUCAGCUUCAGCAUUGUGUUGUGGGAGCUGCUCACAGGAAAGCUUCCAUAUGAGCACUUAAACCCAUUACAGGCGGC
rnacentral:misc_RNA from 1 species